AUAAUCACACUCUCAUGCUGCAUGAAAUUAAAGUAUGAACUUUCCUUAAACCAUUACGUGUGCAUGAACUCAAACAAAUGCAGUGCGUCUGUAUCGAUUCGCUCGAUCGAGUCAUUUAUGUUUCGUCCCGAAGAAGAUCCGAAUCGUCUGUGAAUCUCAUCACUGUUCGAAAUCCAAGAGAAGAGAUCCUCUUCCCUUAACAUCAUCAGGGGAAAAAUCUGCUUCUUAAUCAAUUAGUUUCAGCGUUUGGUGAGUAGAUCAUCUGUAUUUUAUUUUAUAUUCAUUGUGUGUUGAUAGUCCGAAACUUGUAACUGGAAGGUUAUCAGGAAAGUCACGAGUGGUCCGCGAGCACUCUACAAGACUAUUAAUGCGUUUUAAUAAUUAAUAGUGCAGCUAUUAAUGCAGUUUCAUGUCUAGAUCUUAUAAAUGAUGAAUACGAAGUAUGUGACGGCAAAAUAACAUGAGAACUCCAGUUCCCAUGAUGCUUGUGAACUGGGCAUGCGCACUGGAUAAAAGAAAAAGCAGCUCUUUAGGGCAAAACUCUCGUCUCAUUAGAUUUGGGCAGUAAUCGUAUGCGUUCAGACCUUAAAUAAGGAAAUAACUGUACAAGCAAAUACAACACAAAAAACAUUUUUAAAACAUUCACUUAAAUUAAACAGACAUGGUAAAAACAGAAGAAAUAUAUUUAAGGCUUAGAGUUUGAUUAAUUCAGCCAAAUCAAAUAUCACUUUCAGAUUUGAAGAUAUUUAUCAGGAAUCACUUUUAAAAUAUUGAGUAUUAUACCACUUCCUGUUUAAAGGCAUAAUAAAAGGCAUCAAAUAUAUUUACCCUACGUGUGAAUGGAAAUGCCGAAAAGUUUAAUGUUUAACCUAAUGUUUAAUGUUGAUCUAAAACAUUUUAAAACUGAUCGUGUAGUGGUAUUUUUAUUAAUCAUAUGUAAUUCUAACCUUUAAAUAUCCUAUAUACUCCUGUUUCUGACGCGUUUUAGCGAAAUGUGGACUUGUCUUGUCUGGGAAGCAUGCAAUUAGCUCAACAGCGAGCUAACCCGCUUUUUACUUCAUUUUUGACAUUUUUUGAAUAAUUGUCGUCCUAUUAUAAAUAAUAUUUAGAAUAAUUGUUCCGUCUCUAUAGUCUCUCUGUCUCUUUCUCAGCCAACAUUGAGAUAGGGCUCCCAGACUGUUACAGAUAGCUAUAAUAUAAACAAACAACUCAUGCAAGAAUAGCAGGCAAGGACAGCCACAGAAAUCUGCAAUGGGCAGAGAAAAUCAUUAUUUUUGGCACUUUCUCACAAUAAUAAAUUUAAUAAGUAAUCUCUUUAUAUUACUAGGUAAAUUCCAUAUACAUAAAGUCGAAAUGUCCAAGACAACCAAUUCUCAUUCUCAUUAAUACUGUUAAUUGAAUUAAAAAUGUAUUUUCAGUCUCUGUCACAUAUCGAAUCCAGCAAAGAGUGCUUAUCAGCUAUUCAAUUUUAUUCAAAUUACAUUCAGUGAAAUAGUUUGUCAUUUCAAUUUGCCCUGUUUUUUAUCUCCUUAUCUUUCUUUAAACUUAUUGCUACUUAUGAGGCUAAGCUUAACCAUGUUCCUCCUAAUUUCGAACUAUUGAUAUGAAAUGCUCUGAUUAAUUGUUUGCUGAAGUUUUAAACCUCCAUACUUUUGCCUUUAAAAACCACAGAGGAUAUGGAAUGGAUAGGCUUUUAAUGUAUUUAGUUAACCAUAAUUUUUUUCAGCAAGAAACAGAGUUAACAGAGUUAAGUUGUUUAUGUUAAGCAAUACCUUUCUCUCUGGAUCCAUGCCAUCCUACAGUCUCUUCUCGAGCAAGGCGUGGCGAGACACUUUACACAAGAUUUACGACUCUAUGGUCUGUGUGUUCUGGUAUCUGCUGAGUCACCAGAAAUCUGCCAAGACACUGACACUUGCGCCUGCUCCAACAUCUGGCGCAUAAGGGCUUUAAGGUUUCCAGAACCAAGCUGCAAUAUUGUAUGGACACUUAAGUAUUUGAACUUUUGAAGUUUUGAACUUUCUCAAGGCUGUCAUUCUAGACACAAAACGCCCUGCUGGGUCAGAAAAUGGAUCCCUGACUGCUCUUUAUAUGACAAGCUUCUCCGUUCCGCAAUCUCUCAUCACGAUCCACUGCAACAUCCUUUGACCUGGACUGACGCUAUGGUGGUCACUUAUCACUCCCUCAAAAGCACCCUUUGUUCCACCCCUGGGUUACCUGCUCACUUCAAGCCCUUCCACCUCUAUGCCUGUGAACACCAAGGCACAGCCUCUGGGGAGCAUGAGGGGGGGAGAUGCAUCAUUGUGCGUUUUUAUCCAAAACAUUAGACAUUGUUGCUCAAGGCUUACUUGCGUGUCUGGGGGCUGUCUCCGCAUGUGCUUUGAUGGUUGCAAAAUUGACAGACCCAUUAAAUUAAUUAAUCAGUAAUUUAAUAGAUAAUUAAAUUAACAUAUGACUAUUUAUUCUCUGUUCUACUAACAAUCUCGAAAUUCGUGUCACAUCCUCUUUUGAUAAUGUAGGUCGCGCUCUCGCACGCCUCCUUAAUUCUCGGGAUGAUACUUGAGAUGACAUUGAUAUUGUCUGUCUAAAAAUCGUACAUACUACUAGUAUCAGGUCUGGUCUCUCCUCCAGCCCUCUAGGGAUGGGGGAUGUACUCUUUGUUGGUGGUUCUUGUUCUAAACCCUCAGACGGUUCUUGUUUUAUAAUUUAUAAUAUUACCACACCUCUGUGGUUAUUCUGUGUGUUCAAUCAAUAUCAGCCUGAUAUUCUGCAUGAGACAUACGCUCGCUCUUUCUCAUUUGAUUUUUGUCAUCUUGAUUGUGAACAAAUUCUCUAAAUGGGUAGAAGUUUUUCCCUGUUCUCGAGAGAACGUGAAGGUAGUUCACUCGUACUCUGGCAAAAGAAAUAAUACCUAGUUAUAAUAAUAAUAAUGAUACAUUUUAUUUAUAAGUGCCUUUCAAGGUACCUAAGAACACUGGACAGUAAAAAAGAAAAACAAACAAUAAAAGCAGAACAAUAAAAUAACAACAAUAAAAUAAUAAGAAAUCAAUAAUAAUUAUUGUUAUAGUUAUGGGGUUUCAAAUGCCAUAGACUCAGACAAGGGUACCCCUUUCACCUCAAAAGUCACACAAAACCUUUGUAAGUAUCUCUAAACUAAACUGGUGUUUUCACAUUCCUAAAUCCUCUGGUAUUGUAGAACGUACUAAUCGAACAUUGAAAGACAAAUUAAUUAAGGUCAUGCAGGACACAGGUUUGGUUCUGUAAUCCAUAAUUCAUUCUGGCUGAAAUUCGUGUGACACCAAGAAAUUAUUCUCCCCUGGAAGAAGGGAACUCUGGCUCCGGGUACCUCUGAUUUGAAAAUGCAUAUGGAUGAGUAUUCUGCAGCCCUUAUAGAUAAGUUGCAUAAAAUUUGUACCAAGGUCAAUAAUACAAUAUUAUCUCCACCACACACCCCUUUCACGUGGGAGACAGGUGCUGGUGUGACUUUUUAAAGUAAUGAUUUGGACAAUUGGGAAAACAAUAUAAUGGGCCUGCAGACAUAGUCGCCAUUACUUUUGCUGCUGUUUUAACUGAUCUUUUUCCACAGUGGAUCCAUGCCACUCGAUUGAAGAAGGCUCCAUAACAAAGUUGUGUUACAAUAACAAGUUUGCUGCUAUUAACGCUUUUUGUGUCCCUAUCUAGUCUCCCUCUGGCCAGUUUUCUCUCUCUCUAUUUCUGAGAUCUACACAGAUUCGACUGAGAAUCCUCAAGACGUUGUGAACAAAGAGGGGAAGAGAUCUUGCGCCCCAUUUGGAACCAAUCAUCCUCACUACAACCAUGACAGUCCUCAUCACGGGUUUCGUGACUUCAUUGUUGCUCGGGGCAGGGCUACCCGCCCGAGCCUUCGUGACUGCUUCAUCUUUGCUCGGGGCAGGGUUACCCGCCCGAGCCUUCUGGACCACUUCAUUGCUCGGAGCAGGGUUACCUGCUCGAGCUGGACUUCGAGACAACAUCUUCUGGACUAACUUCGCUAACUGGACUGCACAAGCGCACACCACACGAAUGUGUUAUGUCUUUCAUCUGAUGCCAUUUUCUACUAUUAUUACACAUCUCCAUGCUCUGAAACUCUGUAUUCUUACAGGACUCUGUUCUCACUAUAGGUCGAUAUGCCUUCUAAUUUCAUUUUUCCCUCACUGUUUUAGAACAAAUUACUCUGAAGGAAGUAGCGUGUAUCUGGGAAUUAAGAGGUUUUGAGUUUCUCUAAGCUCCGGUGAGGUGAGACGAGGGCUGAUCGGGCAUGCCUGCCCUCUGAGCACCAAUAUACGUCAAGAAGGGCAAAGAUUAACUCAAGAUUAAUUCUCGAUGUAAUCACAUAUAUGAUCAUGAGGUGAUAAUGAUCAAAUAUGAUCCUAGGAUUUGAUAAUAGUGAUACUAUUAUCAAAGGGGGGGAUUGUUAGGUUUAUAUAAGUAUUAUUCUUGACCAAGAAGGCAGUAAUUAAUUAAAAUGGUGACAAAAUUAAGGAUUAACUUAAGGUUCAGUUAAAAAUGACCUUCUGUCUCGGCUGGACAUUGUUUGGGAACAUUUUGUUUAUUUUUUGAUAUGAAUGUGUAUUUUCAUUCAGAGAGGUGUCUGAAAGAUUCACCAAGGUCUGUUUUGGUGUCAGAUCGACCCACACACUCUGAAAUGGUAGAAUUAAGGUUCAUGUUUAUGUUAAUUCAUGUUUAGUUGAAACUUAGGUUUAUAGCUUCUUAAAAGCUUGAAAUAUACCAUAGUAUUUUUACUAAGUAGUAGUGAUUUGGAUCCCGUAAUUAAUGAAUGCAUUCCGUGAUUAAUGUUAGUUUUAUAGUUUUAGAUUAGUUUCAUAAUAAUUAGAUCUUAUGAUCUUAUCUUAAGAUCUUAUGAUUCUAAGGGUUUGUAGUUUAAAAGCAUUAACCUAAUUUAGUUAUGAGUUUAAUCCUGUUAGUUGUUUAAUUGUUCUCUCUCUUUCAGACAUAUUCUCAUUGUUCUUAUGUUUAAGUUGUUCUUAUUUUUUAUGUUUAUUUUCUUAUAACAUUCUUUGUUUUAGCAUUAUUAAAGACAUAUUUGUUAUUUUGCUUAUGUUGAUGAAAUCAAGAUGUAAUUUACUGACUUAACACACAUUCAUGUGUUAAGAAAUUAUGUUAAAUUAUUAGAUCCUUUCUGUGCAAACUAAUGUCUUUGACCUUCUCUGAAUAGACUCCGUAGACUAGACAUUCUGUGUUUAGACAUUCCAUGCUCUAUGUAAUGAAUAUUAACCAUAAUAUUGACCAUAAGCCGAAACUCUGAUAUCUAUCUGUACCUUACUAUCAUCAGAAAUAUGUUAUUAUAUUAUGAUUGAUUCAAGAUCAUUACACACUUCUACACACACACACACACAAAUGAAGACAAAACAUAAACACAGAGAUACUAUAAGAUGUUUCCAAGAAUGUUUUCAUUUCGACGAAGUGACUGUGCGAAUAAACUGGCAUGUGAACUCUC